rfam:Candidate division WOR_1 bacterium DG_54_3 WOR1_52_54_27749, whole genome shotgun sequence.
GGAGAGGUAGCGAAGUGGUUAAACGCGCCUGACUGUAAAUCAGGUCCCUUAUGGGUUCGGUGGUUCGAAUCCACCCCUCUCCA